GGGGCUGAUUCUGGAUUCGACGGGAUUUGCGAAACCCAAGGUGCAUGCCGAGGGGCGGUUGGCCUCGUAAAAAGCCGCAAAAAAAUAGUCGCAAACGACGAAAACUACGCUUUAGCAGCUUAAUAACCUGCUUAGAGCCCUCUCUCCCUAGCCUCCGCUCUUAGGACGGGGAUCAAGAGAGGUCAAACCCAAAAAAGAUCGCGCGGAUGCCCUGCCUGGGGUUGAAGCGUUAAAACGAAUCAGGCUAGUCUGGUAGUGGCGUGUCCGUCCGCAGGUGCCAGGCGAAUGUAAAGACAGACUAAGCAUGUAGUACCGAGGAUGUAGGAAUUUCGGACGCGGGUUCAACUCCCGCCAGCUCCACCA
rnacentral:tmRNA from 1 species